UGUUACAGGCUUUAAAAGAGUAUUGGAUUAAUAUUUUUAAGGAAAUUUAACGGAUUUGGCGGCGGAAUAGCCCAUCUAGAGGAACCUGUCUCGUAAACGAUAGACCCCGAUAAAUAUUACUUUUGUUGGUGAUCAGUUUGUAUACCGCUGUUGUUAGUUAGUUUUAUUAGGAAGCUUUCUUUAAUGAUAUUUUCAUUGACUUCAAGUAAAGGUGCAGCUUAUAUAAAAGAGGAAGAUGGGUUACAUUUAAUUGAAUAAUAUAAAUGAAUUAGUUUAUGGAAAUGACUAUGAAAGUGGAUUUAGAAGUAAAUUUUUAAAGAAUUUGAUAAGAGCACUAUUUUGUG
rnacentral:rRNA from 1 species